UACGUAGGGUGCAAGCGUUGUCCGGAAUUAUUGGGCGUAAAGAGCUCGUAGGUGGCCUGUCGCGUCGGCUGUGAAAACUCGGGGCUCAACUCCGAGCUUGCAGUCGAUACGGGCAGGCUAGAGUUCGGUAGGGGAGACUGGAAUUCCUGGUGUAGCGGUGAAAUGCGCAGAUAUCAGGAGGAACACCAGUGGCGAAGGCGGCUCACUGGUCCGGUACUGACGCUGAGGUGCGAAAGCGUGGGGAGCAAACAGG
rnacentral:rRNA from 1 species